GGUUCUGAUGGGGUAAACAGUUGACCUAAGCUCAUGAGGCAUGUGUUAUAUUCUUCAAGAAUAAUUAUUUCACUGUAACAGCCUCACCUUCUACUUGUUUUUGUAUUGUAACAACCUCCUCCUCCGCUUUCACGAGAGCUACUUUCUCCAUCCAGCAGACCUUCUCUUAUUCAGCAGGAACGGGGUUAAGUUUGAGACUGGAACUAUGAGGCAUGUACUGAAGUCGCUAAACGGUAUAAUUCAAAGCAGUGUCGCUUUAUCAGCAGCACGUGAUCAAUGACGUCUGAAUAAUAAUUUCGUCGAACACCUGAUUGUUUUGGUAUUGGGCUCGUUCGACAUUGCAGCCGACAGUGCAGGUGGCUGCUGACUGACUAAUUUACAAAUCACCUUGCAUCAUAAAUAACUACUCAUUAUUAUUUAUAAAUCAGUCAGCCAGUCACCGUUUACCCACCACGCAGCAUGGAGUUGAUGCUCUCGAACAGGGCCAGUGGUUUAAUAUAUGACAUAAUGGCUACGCUGCUACGGCGUGUGACUUCAUCUAUAAAAUGUGGCUGUUCUAAAUUCUGUGUCGCCCAAAGCCUUGAGUAAUGAACUUAUUUUUUUUGCCACAAUUGGCUGGAAAAAGCCAAUGAUUCAGAAAGCGUUGUUUCCCCGUCACAAUUACUUUUUCUGUGAAUUAGACUACGGGAGUUGUGUAACUUUUUCCACGUUGGCUCACUGUUAGUUGGGUUCUGAUUGGUCUCCGGUAGUUGGUCUCGCUGACCAUAACCUUACAAGUUGGCUACGCUGGUUAGGCUAAUGCUAGUUUGCUAAAUAGCUAACGUUGGAUGACUGGCUACGCUGGUUAGGCUAAUAGCUAGUUGGCUAAAUAGUUAACGUUAGCUGGUUGGCUAAGAUAACUGCAUAUAACUAAUGUUAGCUGGCUGGCUAAGAUACCUGCAUAUAGCUAAUGUUAGCUGGCUGGCUAAGAUAACUGCAUGUAGCUAACGUUAGCUGGCUGGCUAAGAUAACUGCAUAUAACUAACGUUAGCUGGCUGGCUAAGAUAACUGCAUAUAGCUAACGUUAGCUGGCUGGCUAAGAUAACUGCAUAUAGCUAACGUUAGCUGGCUGGCUAAGAUAACUGCAUAUAGCUAACGUUAGCUGGCUGGCUAAGAUAACUGCAUAUAGCUAACGUUAGCUGGCUGGCUAAGAUAACUGCAUGUAGCUAACGUUAGCUGGCUGGCUAAGAUAACUGCAUGUAGCUAACGUUAGCUGGCUGGCUAAGAUAACUGCAUGUAGCUAACGUUAGCUGGCUGGCUAAGAUAACUGCAUGUAGCUAACGUUAGCUGGCUGGCUAAGAUAACUGCAUGUAGCUAACGUUAGCUGGCUGGCUAAGAUAACUGCAUGUAGCUAACGUUAGCUGGCUGGCUAAGAUAACUGCAUGUAGCUAACGUUAGCUGGCUGGCUAAGAUAACUGCAUAUAGCUAACGUUAGCUGGCUGGCUAAGAUAACUGCAUAUAGCUAACGUUAGCUGGCUGGCUAAGAUAUUUUUAUUUUAUUUAUUUUUUAUUUAUUUUACCGUUAUUUUACCAGGUAAGUUGACUGAGAACACGUUCUCAUUUGCAGCAACGACCUGGGGAAUAGUUACAGGGGAGAGGAGGGGGAUGAAUGAGCCAAUUGUAACUGCAUAUAGCUAACAUUCUUUGAUAUUUGGUUAGAUGGUGUUAUGCAUUUCCAAAACGUUGGUUUAGUUUAAUCACUCAAGUCAUGAGUGCAAAUGAUUGGUUGAAUUUAAAGUUUUACAUUUUAAGUUAUUUCUAUUGUAGUUUUCAUCAUAGGGAAUAGGCUGGUCUUCCAUAUUACUUCACACCUGACUUUGGCACUCUUCUAAAUUCGGAUUGGUUUAAUGUAAUAACUCCAAAAAUAGAACAGUGAGGUGUAACUUUGCAUUGGGAAAAAUAUUUUAUUUUAUCUCAAACUGCACCAUGUUAUUUGUCUACAAGCACUUUAAUGUUUAGAUAAUAAAUUAUUGUAUCAACAGGUUUUUAAGUAUAGUAUUUAAGAUGAUUGAGGAGAAAAGUAUCAUCCAACCAUUGGGUAACUUGUUUCAUGCACAUCAAAUGUGAGGGUGAAUUUCAGAUGUUCACUGCUUGUAUUGGUGAAGGAGUGGAAUCGAUGAAGUUCCUCUGCUGUCCCCUGGAAUAGAAGGAACACGUCAUCAAUGAAGAAUUUUACAGAGCCUGAUGAGGGGCAGUCAAGAAAUGGAAUGGCAAGGCCACAGAACAUGACAUAAGCAGAGCUGUGGGAGACCACCACAAGCCCCUGGUAGAGCCGGGGGUGGUGUUUACCACUCCACCACACCUUCAGCAGGCUGGAAAUGUGGGAUUGAUACUGUUUUUCAUACUAAGAUGUACCAAGAGUUUGUUGAUUGGUCAGGCAUUGGAUUAAUUUGUUUCGCAAUAUGUUCAAAUCAAAUCAAGCUUUAUUUAUAGAGCAUAUUUCAGACAUGGAUGCAGCACAAUGGCUUUACAGGAAAAGACACUAUGGGGGUGUCCAAUGAAAGUUGACAAGUAACAACAACUGGGAAAUAAGACACCCACCAUGAGACCCACUAAAUCUGCCCAAGAAGAGGAAAAUGAAAGAAAAACCCACACCAAACCUAAAGACAGGAAGCAAACCAAAAAGGUUGAGCAACUAAAGGUGGACACUCUACAUCUAUCAAGACAACUGGAGCACUGGGCCAGACACUCUUAAAUAGAACCUGGACCAGCUCAGGUGAAACAACUUCCCACUAAUGAGAUGGACAAGCCAGCACAGGUGUAACACAUACUGACUAACGAGGUGACACCAAUCAGUGCGCCCAACGUGCUAACGAGCUAUACGUGAUAAAGUCCAACCUCAAAACAUUAAUGUAACACUUUCCCCUUAAGACAACAAAUAGAUCCUAUAUUUUUCCCCCACAAGCUUCUGGAACUCUCGUCUUCCUAAAACUCACUUAGUUCUAGAACUCUCGUCCCUUUGGAACAAAAUCAAUUGUGAUUCAUGGCAAAGCACUGGCUAAACGCAAAACUUGUUGACUGCCCACCCUUGAGACAAUCAGCAAACAACACCUGCAAUAUCUGUUGUAACUUUCCACCUCACUGCGGAGCUUCUCUCUCUUUCGGGGCCCAUUCCCCAAUGUCAUGCAUUUGGGUUAGCAUUUCUGAGAAUGAAUCCUGAUAUUCUAAAAGAAGGGUAACAACUUCAAUAUAAUUAUAUCUAAAAGCGGGGCAACAUUGUCAAUAUAAUUGUACCCAAAAAUGGUCAGCUGGUUGCAUAAAUAAUUAUGAAUACUAAAUGUUACAUAAAUUGUAAAUAUCAAAACCAACCAAAUGUUCACCCCUUUGUUAAUAUGUAUUGGCAAUACUUCACUUAAGGGUGAGGCAUGGAAUAAUAAAACAUGGAUCUUUUGUCAGGCUGGAUGUUUGAAAUAUGAGUAGGUGAUUUGAGUCAUGCUUCUUCAGUAGUGGAAUAAAGACAAUUAGCAUUUGAAUGUUGUCAAGAAAUACUGGAGUGAUGUCAGAUUGUUAAUAAAAUUGAUUAUAGUCCAAUUUA